rnacentral:rRNA from 1 species
CGCGCAUACAGCCGGGCAGUGACGUCAUCGUCUGCGCGGAAAUGGACGAACAGUGGGGCUAUGUCGGGGCUAAAUCGCGCCAGCGCUGGCUGUUUUACGCGUAUG